UACGUAGGGUCCAAGCGUUGUCCGGAAUUACUGGGCGUAAAGAGCUCGUAGGCGGUCUGUCGCGUCGAUCGUGAAAACUUGGGGCUUAACCCUGAGCUUGCGGUCGAUACGGGCAUGACUGGAGUUCGGCAGGGGAGACUGGAAUUCCUGGUGUAGCGGUGAAAUGCGCAGAUAUCAGGAGGAACACCGGUGGCGAAGGCGGGUCUCUGGGCCGAUACUGACGCUGAGGAGCGAAAGCGUGGGGAGCGAACAGG
rnacentral:rRNA from 1 species